AGAUGCACCCGCAAUGAACGCUAAGGGGACACCCCCGCCCCCAGCCCUACCUCCCCCCGAAACGCAGAGGGAAGGGGGGGCUCCCCUGGAGCGCGGCGUUUCGGCCGGGAAAACCGUUCGGACGUUAAAAAAUGACGUUGUGCCCUGUUUUGCUGUAAGGAAUUAGGAAUUAUUGCUGUUACUGUUGCGCUUGGAGAUUCAUCGCGUUGUUAUUCAAGCUCUGGCUGCAGUGAGGUUCCAGCGUAGCAUCCACAACCUCCGCUAAACCAAACCCAUUAGCGCUGAGGCUGCAAUAAAACGAGAUUUAAACCGAACCUUGUAUGAACAUCAAGGCAUCCAGCCACAGCAACUUUAGUAAUAAUCAUAUUCAGGUGCUUUAAAAAGUCACAGGGAAAAUCCUCUUUCGUAUCUUUCCACCGUGAUUGAAUCUGAAGGAAAUCAGAUGUGCGGGAGUGAUCGAAACGUGCUAAGAUAGAGGAUCUUGCAGGAGUUUAAACGCCGUCGCGGUGGAGACGAGAUCGAUAGAGGAGAGGAAGGAAGGAAGGAAAUGGAUGCUAUCUGUCCGAGGGCGCUCCCGCAGCCUCCUCUCCCGCCCGCCCAUCUCCGACGGUACCUUCCGCCGCCCCGCUCCGCGCUCCCGCCGCCCGCGGCCGCCGGGCCACACACGCCACCGCCACCGGUGCCACGGCCCCGGCGAGGCCCGCGGGAGCAGAGCCAGCCGCCGCGCGUUCCUCCGAGGAGACCCUGACCCCUUGCUCCGCACCGCUCCGCACCCCUCUGCGCCGCACAGCGGGGUGCGCGCAGCCUGCCCGCUCUACGGCGGAUGGACAGAUCGCCCGGAUUGUUUUUAUUUUUAGAGGAAUGCCCCUUGUUGUUGGUUUUUUUACUCCUCCCUAGAUUUCUGUAGGUUGCUAUGUGGCAUGUUGUUUUCAUUUCUUGGCUUUUUGAAAUAACUAUUUUGAUUUAAAUUUAUCGAACAACCUGUUAUCCAUAUGUCUGUCCGAUUAAUUUUUUAUGGGAUGAUGAAAGAGAGAAGAAUCUAUAUAUAUAGUGAUCUGCUAAUGGAAUAAUAUAUAUAUCCAAAACACCUUUCUGGGGUUACUUUUAUUUCCGGACUUUAAAAUGCAGUCUGGGUUUUUAGGCAAUUGAUGAGGCAGUGCUUAUUUGAUAUAGGAGAGUAACAUAUUUAGACUUCGGGGGAAAAAUGUAUUGUUUUCCACUAGAAAGAUAUUUUCCUGUCCUUCCUUCGAAAAUCUUGAGGGGCAUUUACAGGAAGGUUAUGGCCAUGUUCCGCCAUUCACAGUGGGAUUUUUGCAAAUCUUUGCGAACAUUGAAGCCGGACGUCACCAGAGAGUAAAAUACCCACAGGAUCCUUUUCCCUUCAAAGACAUGAUUUUCUGUAACUACCCAGCAGGGAUCCAUAGAAGCGGUCACCAAGGAAAACAUAUUUAUAUCAUUAGCCUCUUCUUCCCUCCACCCCCCAAGUGAGCCUAAUCGCUUCACCCUAAGGAGAUGUGGCGUGUAAAACAGACAGCAAGGAGCUGACGGCGGCUAGUCAGUCAAACAUUAUCAACCCCAGAAAAAAUUAUAGGCGCAGGUUAGAAAAUAGUCUGUAAACCCUUUUUCUAUACAUCCCAAGUGCACCUUCGCCCUCGUCCCUCUCCCUUGCCCUUGCUUGCGGCUGAGCGUGUGUCGAGGGCCAAUUAGCGCUUUCAGCUCUUUUAUAACAGGGUGAACAGCAAGCCUAGAGCGACUGUCCCAGCGAUACAGAUGACCCCCAAAAGGGUUGAGAGAAGGUUAAGCAUGGCUUAAAUUUAAAAGAGGCAGAAAGUUCCGUGGAGCCCUCCCGUCCCUCUCCACCGGGAAUCCUCCGGCCGGUCUGCUUUCCCCGCUGCCAGGUGGGCUGCAGCCCGAAGGAAGAGGUGGCACUAGGGAGCCGGCAGGAACGGUCGUCCGGAGCGGCGGCGGGGCUCUUUAUUGGUUUCCGAUGAGAGCGGCCCGGCCCCUGCUCCCACUUGUGCGUGUCACCUUCCUCGGGCGCAAAACGAGAGCGGCUCACAGCGCGGGGCGCAGGCGAUCCCGGCUGAUCCCGCGCCGGGCCCAGGCUCGCGGUGCCCCGGCGGCCGUGGGCAGCCCCCUGAUAUUCGUCCCGGGUCUGUCCCGAACACACCGCCUCGUGCACCCGCCCGGGCUUUAGCUUUGCGGCCGAGCCGGAACGAGAGGGAGCCGGGUCGUUUUCCCGACGCUUGAGACUCCCCGGGCUCAAACGACAUAAUUCGACUGCCGGGUCCCACAACGAGCGGAUGACGAGGCCGCUCAGUACCCAGCCUCCAGGACCACAGAGCAUGCAGCAUCCCGUUCGGUGCUCCUAGCUCAGGAGCCGAGAAAAGGGAACAGGGCUGGGGAAGAGAGGGGGAGCCCCCCGCGCUUUCACCGCGCUCAGAGCCCUUUGUCGCCUAGAGUGACCCAGCUUUAGCCUGAACCGCGGGGAGCCUCGUUGCGGUUGUCGCCGGUCGCGCCGAAGCCAAGCCCAACCUGCCAGGAGUGUGGCCACGGCGGCCCUCAAACAGCCGCCGCUAGUGGGGUUAGGGGAGGGCUCAUCGAUACGGCGUGGCAAGAUUUGCUCCCGCUCCAGCACCGCGGGACGGCCGCGCACCGAAGGAGGCGAACGGGUCGGGGCCGGCCCGCCGCAGCAGCCGACGGGGCCCGCGGUCCGGCGGGCGGCGUGGGGCAUCCCCCGCGCGGUGGGCACCGGCCUUUCCCCGUGCGCCCGCCGAGCCCCGAGCCCCUCUGUCCUCACCGGGCGCUGCCCCCACAGCCUCAGGUCUCGUUUUAAAACUUAGGGGAAAAAAAUAGUCGUUCCCCUGCUGCAGUGUAUAAAUAAGAUCAGCGUACGGAAAUAAACGCUCAGCCAACCUACCGGCUUUCCGGACGGAUGAAAAUGCUGAGGAACGACAUUAAAACAUUGAAAACACAGUUUAAAGGCAUCCGUGUUAAAAUUAUAAACAUUCUGGUGACUGCGUUUUAUAACGCUUCUAUUACUAUCUUAAUUCCUAAUUACACGGCCACGAGUAUGAACAGUUUUUAAGGAAAUCUCCAGCCUUUAAUACGCCGCUCCCACUUAUAUUUAUUGUUCGUUUCAGACAAACGAUUUUUAAAAAUAGCCUUUUCAUUACUUCAGUCACAAAAUAAGCAUUUACAAACGCUAAAUGAGGGUUGAAGAAACCUCUGGCUUUACUUUUUUAUUGCUUUCUUAUAAAUUUAACUCAUAUUUUCAUUAUUGUCUCAGGAAAAAAAAUGAAAACGUGCAUGGAAUAAAAUUAAAUCAGGUAGCUUUAAAUCGCUGUAGUUUAGGGUAGAGUCACUAAUUGGAAAUAUUUAUGUUUGCAAAGCUGGGAUUUCAGCAGUAAAAAGAUACGGUAUAUCCCCUUUUUAUCAUAACGUGGGUCUACGAGAACAUUUAUAUCAUACCAUUGCAAGAAAUGAUGUGUAGUUAAACAACAUUUUUUAAGCAGGGUUUGUGUCUUUUUAUGGCAACCCUCGGUCUUUAGUCCGGGCUAGUUCUCAUAUUACAUGAAAUGUACUUUAAGAAGUACUACCUGCUCCAGCUGUCCAGGAAAAACUGAAUUAUGGAACUAGGAAACAUAUGGCAGUUGCAUAUUGCACGAGUAAGGUACAUAUGAAAGUUAUAAAUUUCUUUUUUAAGUAACCAUUGUAAACGCAUUUUUAUAGGUUUCACAGUAUGUAUUACAUCUGUAAUUUUAAUUUUUGCAAUAUACCUUUUUAAAGAUAUCUAUGUUUUCUGUACUCUGGGGGAGGAAAUGCAA